rnacentral:rRNA from 1 species
CCUACGGGUGGCAGCAGUGGGGAAUAUUGCUCAAUGGGCGGAAGCCUGACGCAGCCACGCCGCGUGAAGGAAGAAGGCCCUCGGCUUGUAAAGCUCUUUCAGUAGGGAAGAAAUCAUAUCGUUUUAUAGACUUGUGUAUUGACGUUAACUACAAACGAAGCACCGGCUAACUCCGUGCCAGCAGCCGCGGUAAUACGGGGGGUGCGUGCGUUAAUCGGAAUUACUGGGCGUAAAGGUCACGGAGGCGGUAUGACAAGUCAGAUGUGAAAGGCCCGGGCUCAACCGCGGAACUGCCUUUGAAACUGUCAGACUAGAGUAUGUGAGAGGGGGGCGGAAUUCCAGGUGUAGCGGUGAAAUGCGUAGAUAUCAGGAGGAACACCGGUGGCGAAGGCGGCCGCCUGGCA